UUCCAGCUCCAAUAGCGCAUAUUAAAGUUGUUGCAGUUAAAAAGCUCGUAGUUGGAUUUCUGUGAGAGUGCCGGUGUCGGCUGAUGCUUGUACGCAGGCGCUCUUACAUCCUUCUGUUAACUGUUCUUGGCAUUUUAUUGCUGGUUCAGGGCUCAGAUAUUUUACCUUGAGAAAAUUAGAGUGUUUCAGGCAGGCUUAUGCCGGAAUACAUUAGCAUGGAAUAAUGAGAUAGGAUUACGUCUAUUUUGUUGGUUGCGGACGAUAAUAAUGAUUAAUAGGGAUAGUUGGGGGUGUCCGUAUUGAGCUGUCAGAGGUGAAAUUCUUGGAUUUGCUCAAGACGAACUACUGCGAAAGCAUUCACCAAGGAUGUUUUCAUCA
rnacentral:rRNA from 1 species